rnacentral:lncRNA from 1 species
GCAAAAAAGGGUAUCCUGUUGGACUGAAAACCUGAAAAGGCGGUCCAGGCAAAAGUUAGGGAUUAAAGCGUAUGACUAUGUCCCGUUUUCAGUCAACUUUCAUCCAAGUUCAAGGGACUGACCAAGCCAAUCACUUCUAUCCGACAGCAGAGGAUGAGAUGCUUGAAGACAUAAUGGCCGUAGUGGACUUAAAAUCAAUAGGACUUUUUCUGCAUAGUUUUCUCUUUUUGUUUCGACAAUUUCCUCUUACCAGGAUUUCUGUCUCCUUGUACACAAAUUGCCUGUUUA